rnacentral:rRNA from 1 species
UCAGCCGCCGCGGUAAAACCAGCACCUCGAGUGGUCAGGAGGUUUAUUGGGCCUAAAGCAUCCGUAGCCGGUUGCAUAAGUUUUCGGUUAAAUCUAUGCGCUUAACGUAUAGGCCGCCGAAAAUACUGUGCAGCUAGGGAGUGGGAGAGGUACACGGUACUCGAUAGGAAGGGGUAAAAUCCUUUGAUCUAUUGAUGACCGCCUGUGGCGAAGGCGGUGUACCAGAACACGUUCGACGGUGAGGGAUGAAAGCUGGGGGAGCAAACCGGAUUAGAUACCCGGGUAGUCCCAGCUGUAAACGAUGCGGACUCGGUGAUGCAUUGGCUUGUGGCCAAUGCAGUGCCGCAGGGAAGCCGUUAAGUCUGCCGCCUGGGAAGUACGUACGCAAGUAUGAAACUUAAAGGAAUUGGCGGGGGAGCACA